rnacentral:rRNA from 1 species
UACGUAGGGGGCUAGCGUUGUCCGGAAUCAUUGGGCGUAAAGAGCUCGUAGGCGGCCGGUUGCGUCUGCUGUGAAAUCCCGGGGCUUAACCCCGGGCGUGCAGUGGAUACGGGCUGGCUGGAGGCAGGCAGGGGAGAAUGGAAUUCCCGGUGUAGCGGUGAAAUGCGCAGAUAUCGGGAGGAACACCGGUGGCGAAGGCGGUUCUCUGGGCCUGUGCUGACGCUGAGGAGCGAAAGCGUGGGGAGCGAACAGG